rnacentral:lncRNA from 1 species
CCCGCCUUCCUUCAUCUCUCCGCUUUCCAGCUUCACUUCCUAAACGAGCUCACUUUAGGCUGCCGGAGAGGAAGAGGCUCUUCCGGCCCUGAAUCAGACAAUCCCUUUUAGGAAAAGGCUCUGAUUGGUCCGAGGGGUCACGUGGGCCGACGGGCGGCUUUCCAGUCACGUGGUCAGGCUGGCCGGAACGGAAGUCCUCCAAGUGCGGGGCUCGCUCUCUGGAGCGGGCAGUGGGUAGAUCUGGGUAGACUAAGUGGCCAGGAUGCCACCAGGGGAAGAUCACUCUUAAUAUUCGUCCUUAGCACCAGCAGCAGAAGUCACGCUGGAUGGUUUACAUAGAAAAGGAGAUUAUGAAAGGAUAAAAGGGCCUUUCUGCUUCUAGCAUGGUGUCGCCAGGAACGAGGACAGCGAAAUCCUGACGAGCACGGGACUGUGCCUGUCGCUGAGGCAGCCAGAGAGGGGACCGGCGCACAGGCGGCCAGGGCCAGAGCAGCAGGUUGUGCGACCCACCGCCCUUCGCCACAGGGAAGCAGCCCUGAGCUAGUCGGGAGUCCUGGCAAAGACCGAGAAGCUGUCUCAGGAGGCCAGUGUCUCCGCUCUCACUUCCGAGUGCAGGAUCCCUUGGCGCCUCCUAGUACUACUGUGCCCUGUUAUCUAGGUCACAGGACGCUACAGUGACCCGACCGGGUCAAUGACAAGGCCCAGGACCUCUGGAAGUGAAGAAAGAUAUGGGUCAUCGCUGCAGGGGACGAACGGAACGAGACCUGCCAACGUGCUUGCGGAAGGCCGGGAAAUACAGAAUCAGAGUAAAGGUAGUCGUAAACACCUCAGGAGCAGUUACAGAAGUGAGGAUUGUGAGCUGGGCGUGGUGGCCCAGGCCUGUAAUCUCUGGACUCAGGAGGCUGAGGCAGGAGGAUCGCCAUGAGUUCGAGCCCAACCUGGGCUACAUCGUGAGCUCAAGGUCAGUCUGAACUACAUAGCAAGGCUCUGACUCAAAAAAAAAAAAAAAAAAAAAAAAGAAAUGAGGAUUGUAAUUGUCAUGAAUAUUUCUUUCCUAUUUUGUUAAUAUCCAUGUGAACAUAGACACAUAAGCAAGUAUCUUUGCUUUCUUUGUAACAUCUUCUUUGUAAUGUUGAUUACCUUAAUAUUGGUACUCAAGUAUUGUGAAAUCUUCAUUCAAUAAUAGUUAAGUUAUCAAAUCUCAGGAAAAAUAUCACCCAAAGGAAAACUCUGCCUUCCAUUCUGGGGAGGGGAAUUAGUGUGUUUCCGUAUGUACACUGGAGAAUUGUACUCUGAGAAACAUAAUUAUGAACUUACUAUUGGACCUGGAGGUCCAUAUGGUUUAAGGAGAUGGUUGUCAAGUUGACAGGGGCUGGUUUUUGACUAUCGAUCCUAUGUCAACCUGACAGGAUUAAUAGCUCCGUAGCGACUGGGUGAAGCACAGUUCUGGGCGUGUCUGUGGGUGACUGACACAUGGGCCAACAAACAGGAAGCCCCCACUGGGCUGUGGGCAGCACCAGCCAAUGGACUUGUAAGAUGGAUGAAAUAAAAAGGGAAAGAAGGAAGUUCGAGAGCAUUUUUAAAGAUCCAGUCAUUUUGAGCGCGUGUGUCCUUUGCUGCCCUGCGCUGAACGCUCGGUCUCCAGAUUCUUCAGCCUUCCAUACAGACUCACACUGGAAACUCCAGUGGGCUCCAGACUUCGACCUCAGACUGGUGCUGCUUUUUUUUUUUUUUUUGGUACCGGGGCUGAACUCGGGACCUUGCGCUUGUAAGGCAGACGGCAGAACCACUGAGCUAAAUCCCGGCUUGGUGCUGCAUCUUUAAUCCCGCUGGUUCUGCAGCUGAGCAGCUCCUGGGUCCUCCAGCUCUCAGUGCACAGACAGCCUUAUGGACUCUCCUGCCUCAGAUCCUAUAACCUCUGUAACCUACCCUAUCAAUCCCCGUGCCUGAUUACACAUCUGUUUCCUGCUGAUUCUGUUCCUCUAGAGAACAUUAACCAAUACAGCCUUGGUGAAGGAAGAAAAUAAAGAGUAAAGAUACUGGGCGUGGUGGUCUAUGCCUGUAAUCCCAGCACUCAGGAGGCUGAGGCAAGAGGAUCCUAUGAGUUCAAGGCCAGCCUGAAUUUCAUAGCAAGACCCUGUAUCAAAAAGGAAGAAAAAGAGAAAGAGUGUGCCAGUGUUACAGAUAACUAAGUUAGGUGCAGACUGGCUGGCAGUUAAAGGGACCAGGCCCAAGACAGACAUACCAGGCCCGUGGGAGGGCAGAGUUGACAGAAACAAGGCCCCAAGAUGGAGACGCCACGGCCAGGCCUGUGAGCCUCCCGGAGGCGAAGGGUAGCUCAGAGCUGUGCUGGAACUGUCAGAGAGAGACUCGCAGGUGCUCCGCCCUCCGUCCCACCCUCCCAGAACUGCCUCUGUGCCUCCUGCUAUGUCCCUGGCAGCACUGUGCCAGGAGACCCAGGUUAGCCUGGUUCUGACUGCAGUCACCAAGGAAGCCUGCAGAAUGACUCACUGUAUAACCUGGAACAGAGCCUCCCAUCGCCCCACCUCCAGGGCCCCUGGGGCUGUCUCUUAAUAAAACCUUCCUCCUCUCUGUCCCUCCAACUCCAUCGUUCAGCAUCCUGAGACACAACUCGGCACGGCUAACAGCUCGGCUGCUUCCUGUGACAUCCUCGGGGGCUCAUUCGGGAUCCCUAGGAGGGAGGGAGGACCCCACUCGGAACUUUACAUUUCACAGUGAGGUGCUGCUACAUCAUGAUGCGGCCCGUCUGUUACUGCCUGUUCCUCAUGAAAUGCUACUUGCAAUGUGUAAGACUUGUUACACACACACUACGCUAAUCGAUCUCAUUCACCGUUUGUGGCACCAGCCUGUCACAGAUUUUUGUUGUUGUUCCCUUGCCAGCAGGUAUGAUUUAAAGGAAUAGGAGACUUUUUUUUUUUCUUUUUUUUUUGAGGCAGGGUCUCCCUUUGUAGCUCAGGCUGGCUCUGAACUCACUGUGUAGCCCAGGCUGGCCUCGAACUCAAAGCAAUCCUCCUGCCUCAGCCUCCCAAGUGCUGGGAUUACAGGCACGUGCCACCACACCCGGCUUAAAGGAAUAGGAGACUUUUGACCCUUUUUCUAUAUGGAUAUCUUUGAUGGGUCAUCUCGUCUUUUGUGAGGAAGUCCCCAACUUUAGUCCGCUUCACAUCUGAAUGGGAUUUACUGUGUACUUAGGCCAAAGUAUGAAUCUGUCCCCACUGGCGGCCCUGUCAAAGUUCCUCCAUCUUUGGUGGCUUUGGGCCCUACUGCAUGCUUCCUUCCAGAGGGCAUGUGAGCUACUGAUUGGCUUGCCGCCCACGGCUGGGGCACAACCAAAGAUCCAGAGUCAGGAAAGAGAAUCCUUCUGGGAAUAGGCUGCUUGCUCCUGAAGAUUUCCUGAAAACUGGGAGGCUCAGGACUGGAUCGGAAGUCAAAGAAUGGGAAACUUGGACGUCAUCUUCAAAAUCCUUUACUGUCCUCGGCCCUGGGAAUUUUUUGAUCCGCAAACCGAAAAGAAGAGCUGCUCCAUCUUCUCUGCCCCAUGCAUGGCCUGACCACCCCUGGAAGAAAAGGAAUGGAGUCAGUGAAGUCAGUGAGGUACUGACCAGCUCUAGCGCUGCUGCAGGUGAAAGGGCAGAUGGCCUGAGGUCCUCUAUUUUCAAGACUUUCCUUGCCCUGAGAGACAAUCCUGAUUUGUGUUUAAAAUGUUUGUGUGAGGAAAAGGAAGCCAGGUACCUUUGGCCCACAAAUCUGACGUGCCCACCAUUCCAGAGGCUGAGGCGCCGCCUGCCUGCCCCGCGUGCUGAGGCUAAAGCCCCCCAGCCACCCCGUUAAGGCUUCUACAGGCGCUGUCCUUUCUCCCCAACCUAACUGAAACCCAGGAGAGCUACAUCCUCUGCAGGAAGUUGGGAGUCUGCCCCCACACCUGUGCCUGUGGUAUUUGCCCUUCUUGAGCUCAAACAAAUUGAACAGGGAUCUGGGUAAAUUUUCAUACGAUUCUGGUAAAUACAUUCAAGUCUUUUCUUCAGCGUUCCGAGACACAGCUGGGCACAUCUAACAGCUCGGGGCUGCUUCCUGUGACACCCAAAAGGAUGGGGGACCACAGCAGGGGCCACACGGGAGUCCACACCCCGGAGGUCACCGAGGUCACAUGGGGAGGUCACACUGGGAGGUCGUGGAGGUCAUAGGGAGGUCACACAGAGGCCACACCGGGAGAUCACAGAGGUCACACGGGAGGUCACACCGUGGAGGUCAUAGGAGGAGCCACACCAGGAGGCCACACCGGCCAGCUGUGCCAUGCAAGCUGAGGCCUGGGCCUUUGGCCUGCUGACCGAGAGCCUCCCGGCUCCUCCCAGGGCCAGCCCGGCAGAGCCUGAGAGCAGCUUGGCUCUGUGGCUGGAGGCCCCGGGGGCCCUGGGCACCUUCAUCAGGCUCCUGGCCUGGAGGUGUCGCGGGGCCACCGAGCUGGCGGGUGGCGCCCAAGGCACUGCAGAGACAAGGGCCAGCCCAGUCACUCGCGGGCCCCCUGCACCUGGCGGGAGUGACGGCCGGCUGUGGCCAUCUGGCCUUGGUCAUCAGGGCCUGGGUCCCCCGGCCGCGGAGGCCGUCCGGAAAGGGCUGGGGCGUCCUCCUCCCGAGGCACAGCCCCCCAGCCCCAGCCAGGGAGCCCCAACCCUCCCGCUACUCCGGCUGCGACCACGCGGUGGCGCCAGAGCCUGCACCAGGCGAGGCCGAGCAGGCGCAUCCGGGGCCUCUCGGAACCGGGCCGGGCCGUGCGUCCCCUGCCGUGUCCUGGGCCGGCGCAGGGCGGGCGGAG